rnacentral:rRNA from 1 species
GGGCCCGCACAAGCGGUGGAGCAUGUGGUUUAAUUCGAUGCAACGCGAAGAACCUUACCAGGGUUUGACAUCCUGCGAAUCUCUUGGAAACAGGAGAGUGCCUUUGGGAACGCAGUGACAGGUGGUGCAUGGCUGUCGUCAGCUCGUGUCGUGAGAUGUUGGGUUAAGUCCCGCAACGAGCGCAACCCACGUCGUUAGUUGCCAGCAUUUAGUUGGGCACUCUAGCGAGACCGCCGGUGAUAAACCGGAGGAAGGUGUGGAUGACGUCAAGUCAUCAUGCCCCUUACAUCCUGGGCUACACACGUACUACAAUGCUACGGACAAAGGGCAGCAAACUCGCGAGAGCUAGCAAAUCCCAUAAACCGUGGCUCAGUUCAGAUCGUAGGCUGCAACUCGCCUACGUGAAGGCGGAAUCGCUAGUAAUCG